rnacentral:rRNA from 1 species
GAAGAUGCGGAGCCGCAGCGAAAGCGAGUCUGAAUAGGGCGCAUGAGUACGUGGUCGUAGACCCGAAACCAGGUGAUCUACCCAUGUCCAGGGUGAAGUUCAGGUAACACUGAAUGGAGGCCCGAACCCACGCACGUUGAAAAGUGCGGGGAUGAGGUGUGGGUAGGGGUGAAAUGCCAAUCGAACCUGGAGAUAGCUGGUUCUCUCCGAAAUAGCUUUAGGGCUAGCCUCAAGGUAAGAGUCUUGGAGGUAGAGCACUGAUUGGACUAGGGGCCCCUACCGGGUUACCGAAUUCAGUCAAACUCCGAAUGCCAAUGAC